rnacentral:rRNA from 1 species
CCUACGGGUGGCAGCAGUCGAGAAUCAUUCACAAUGGGGGAAACCCUGAUGGUGCGACGCCGCGUGGGGGAAUGAAGGUCUUCGGAUUGUAAACCCCUGUCAUGUGGGCGCAAAUUAAAAAGAUAGUACCACAAGAGGAAGAGACGGCUAACUCUGUGCCAGCAGCCGCGGUAAUACAGAGGUCUCAAGCGUUGUUCGGAAGCACUGGGCUUAAAGCGUGCGUAGGCUGUUUCGUACGUCGUGUGUGAAAGGUGCGGGCUCAAGCCGCGGACGGCACAUGAUACUGCGAGACUAGAGUAAUGGAGGGGGAACCGGAAUUCUCGGUGUAGCAGUGAAAUGCGUAGAUAUCGAGAGGAACAAUCGUGGCGAAGGCGGGUUCCUGGACAUUAACUGACGCUGAGGCACGAAGGCCAGGGGAGCGAAAGGGAUUAGAUACCCUUGUAGUC